UAUGUGAUCGUCUCUCGCAUAUCAAUAAGCGGAGGAAAAGAAACUAACAAGGAUUCCCCUAGUAACGGCGAGUGAAGCGGGAAGAGCUCAAAUUUGAAAUCUUAAAGGGUUUCCCUUUACGAAUUGUAGUUUAAAGAAGUGUUUUCUGUUGAGGUUUUGGUAAAAGUUCUUUGGAAUAGGACAUCAUAGAGGGUGAGAAUCCCGUAUUUGACCUUUACUUUCAACUUUGUGAUACACUUUCAAAGAGUCGGAUUGUUUGGGAAUGCAGUCCAAAAUGGGUGGUAAAUUUCAUCUAAAGCUAAAUAUUGGCGAGAGACCGAUAGCGAACAAGUACCGUGAGGGAAAGAUGAAAAGAACUUUGAAAAGAGAGUUAAACAGUACGUGAAAUUGUCAAAAGGGAAGCGUUUGACACCAGUGUUGUUUUUCUGAAAAUCAAUUAAAGAACUGUUUAUGCUAAGUUGUUUAGACUUUAUCAGCUAACUGUUUAGUUUUGAGCUUUUCUUUAAUGCACUUUUCAGUUAACAAGUCAACAUCAAUUUCUGUUGCUGUAAAAAAGCUUGAGGAAGGUGGCUUGAGAUUCGUCUUAAGUGUUUAUAGCCUCUUGCCUAUGCAGUCGGAGAGAUUGAGGUCUGCAGCGUAGAUCCUUCGGGGCUAAAUGCAUUUGUGCUAAGUUAUAACAUUUUAUAGACAACUUGUUGACUAUGAUUUGUCUUGUAGCUUACUCGCUUAUGUUAUUUUACCUACGCUUAGGAUGUUGACACACGCGCGUGCUCG
rnacentral:rRNA from 1 species